rnacentral:rRNA from 1 species
UACGGAGGGUGCAAGCGUUAAUCGGAAUUACUGGGCGUAAAGCGCACGUAGGUGGUUUGCUAAGCCAGCUGUGAAAUCCCCGGGCUCAACCUGGGCACUGCAGUUGGAACUGGCAAGCUAGAGUAGGGUAGAGGGGUGUGGAAUCCCAGGUGUAGCGGUGAAAUUCGUAGAUAUCGGGAGGAACACCAGUGGCGAAGGCGGCGAUCUGGGUGGAUACUGACGCUGAGGUGCGAAAGCGUGGGGAGCAAACAGG